CGCCCCCUGCAAGCCUGAGAAAAGCCCCGAAUGUACUCUCGGCGAAGUGGUCAACAAACUGACGAACGCGCUCAUUUAUACUACUAUACAUAAUUGUGGGAAGGGUGGUACCGGUGGUAGUGGAGGUGGUACCGGUGGUAACGGUGGUACUGGUGG